rnacentral:tRNA from 1 species
GGUCUUAAAGUAUAAUAAUAUGUCGGAUUGCAAAUCUGAAGAUGUGCAAAGCACUAGGGCUU